CCUACGGGUGGCAGCAGUGGGGAAUAUUGCACAAUGGGCGAAAGCCUGAUGCAGCAACGCCGCGUGAAGGAAGAAGGGUUUCGGCUCGUAAACUUCUAUCAACAGGGACGAAAGAAAUGACGGUACCUGAAUAAGAAGUCUCGGCUAACUACGUGCAUGCACCCGCGGUAAUACGUAGGGGGCAAGCGUUAUCCGGAAUUACUGGGUGUAAAGGGUGAGUAGGCGGGAUGGUAAGCCAGAUGUGAAAGCCUUGGGCUUAACCCGAGGAUUGCAUUUGAAACUAUCAAGCUAGAGUACAGGAGAGGAAAGCGGAAUUCGUAGUGUAGCGGUGAAAUGCGUAGAUAUUAGGAAGAACACCGGUGGCGAAGGCAGCUUUCUGGCUGGAAACUGACGCUGAGGUGCGAAAGCGUGGGUAGCAAACAGGAUUAGAUACCCUGGUAGUC
rnacentral:rRNA from 1 species